rnacentral:ribozyme from 1 species
UUUUUUUUUUUUUUUUUUUUUUUUUUUUUUUUUUUUUUUUUUUAAUCAG